rnacentral:lncRNA from 1 species
CAUAAGAACUAUUAAAUACAGUACAUAAUUUUAAAACAUUUUUGAAACACAGAAAACACAUACUUUUUUGAUCUCAGGAAGGAGGAGGAGUUAGUAGGGGAGGCUUGCACCCAUCCAUGCUUCUGAGCGUGCACUCACACAUGCAUGCACACUACCACUCAUUCACAUACACUCACACACACUUGCACUCAUGCCCUUUACACUGUGCACAUUCAGAUCCACACCAUGUACACUCAUACACUGGCAAACCCACACAUGCAUCACACCCCUACACUUGCACUGUCACAUGCACAUACACUUAAGCACGUUCACACCCUCAUGGUUACACUCACACGCACAGCCUCACAUAUGCACACUCACUCAACACUCAUACAUACACAUUUACAUGCUCUCAUUUAUACACACUGAUACAUCCACACACCAUCACACUACACACACUUUUACAUGCUUUCACACAUACCCGUUGGAUAUGGACACACCCACAAGCACUCAUUCCCACACAUGCUUGCACUGCACACACUGACACACUACAUGCCUUCAUAGUUGACACACACUUCCAUGCACAUUCACUCACCUUUUUGCACACUCAUUCACACUCCCAUCACAACACUGACACACUUCUGCCUGUCCUCACACGCCUACACACUUGCCACACAGACACACUGACAGUGUUCCAUGCACACUCACACAUCCUGCACAUUCAGUCACUAACUUACCCUCAUGAGCACACACACACACACACAGGCUUUCAAAUGCACUCAUCCACAGACACAUAUUCUCAUAUGCAUACGCACUUGCACACACACCCUCGCACGCUUGUUCACACUCCCUGACAUGCAGUCACACUAGCCAUCACUCAUGUGCUCACACGCAUACACACUCACACCCCCUUUGCACACACACUUCCCCCACCCACUCACCCCAAGCCCACCUGACAGGUGACACACUUUACCUGCGGGCUGGGAUGGCUGGUCCUCUGCCUGGGCUUUGAGGUUCCUUGGGGGCAGCGGCUCAUGCUGGUUUUCCCACUGCAGUGUCUUCUGUGGCUUCAGCGUCACCUAGUGCAGGCUGCCAUUCAACAAACGCAUUGUCAACAGUCAACCAAAAGAAACCCAUUGGCCACCAUACCCUGAGGACUAACCCUGACACAGAUGCCCUUCCAGAUGCCCUCAAUAGUCUAACUGAUUCCAUCGCCCCAGCCUUGGGGGAGAAGCACUGCUGCCUAUGCACUCCAUUUACAGGCUAAAAUCACACUCGAUGUUUUUAUGGGAUCAUUUGAUCUGGACAUUGUCAAAGAAAAAAUUGCACCAGACAAGUUAAACCUUCAAGGAAGGACUCAGUCAGGACUACUGCAAUACGGAAGAGAGGAGCUUAACUUCAUUGAAACAAAAGGCUGGAGAGUUUUUAAGUGCCGGGGUGAGAUGCUGAGAAGGAAC